GGAAUCUUCCGCAAUGGGCGAAAGCCUGACGCAGCAACGCCGCGUGCGGGAAGAAGGGCUUCGGCUCGUAAACCGCUUUUGUGAGGGAAGAGAACGGACGGUACCUCGCGAAUAAGUCUCGGCUAACUACGUGCCAGCAGCCGCGGUAAAACGUAGGAGGCAAACGUUAUCCGGAUUUACUGGGCGUAAAGCGCGUGCAGGUGGUCCGCUAAGUCGUGCGUGAAAGCUCCCUGGCUCAACCGGGAGAGGUCGUGCGAUACUGGUGGACUUGAGACAGAGAGAGGCAAGUAGAAUUCCGGGUGUAGUGGUGAAAUGCGUAGAUAUCCGGAGGAAUACCAGUGGCGAAGGCGGCUUGCUGGCUCUGUUCUGACACUCAGACGCGAAAGCAUGGGGAGCGA
rnacentral:rRNA from 1 species